GACGAACGCUGGCGGCGUGCCUAACACAUGCAAGUCGAACGGAGAUGAUGGGAUAGCUUGCUAUUUAAUCAUCUUAGUGGCGGACGGGUGAGUAACACGUGGGCAACCUGCCCCAAAGAGGGGGAUAACACCGAGAAAUCGGUGCUAAUACCGCGUAACAUUAGAGCUUCGCAUGGAGCUUUAAUCAAAGGAGCAAUCCGCUUUGGGAUGGGCCCGCGUCUGAUUAGCUAGUUGGUGAGGUAACGGCUCACCAAGGCGACGAUCAGUAGCCGAUCUGAGAGGAUGACCGGCCACACUGGAACUGAGACACGGUCCAGACUCCUACGGGAGGCAGCAGUGGGGAAUAUUGCACAAUGGGGGAAACCCUGAUGCAGCAACGCCGCGUGGAGGAAGAAGGUCUUCGGAUUGUAAACUCCUGUCUUCUGGGACGAAUAAUGACGGUACCAGAGGAGGAAGCCACGGCUAACUACGUGCCAGCAGCCGCGGU
rnacentral:rRNA from 1 species